GGGUUGUGAGGUUAAGCGACUAAGCGUACACGGUGGAUGCCCUGGCAGUCAGAGGCGAUGAAGGACGUGCUAAUCUGCGAUAAGCGUCGGUGAGGUGAUAUGAACCGUUAUAACCGGCGAUUUCCGAAUGGGGAAACCCAGUGUGUUUCGACACACUAUCAUUAACUGAAUCCAUAGGUUAAUGAGGCGAACCGGGGGAACUGAAACAUCUAAGUACCCCGAGGAAAAGAAAUCAACCGAGAUUCCCCCAGUAGCGGCGAGCGAACGGGGAGGAGCCCAGAGCCUGAAUCAGUGUGUGUGUUAGUGGAAGCGUCUGGAAAGGCGCGCGAUACAGGGUGACAGCCCCGUACACAAAAAUGCACAUGCUGUGAGCUCGAUGAGUAGGGCGGGACACGUGGUAUCCUGUCUGAAUAUGGGG
rnacentral:rRNA from 1 species